AAAAUAUGUUAAUUAUGUUUUUAUUAUAUUUUUAUCAUAUUUUUAUCACAUUUUUAUCAUAUUUUUAUCACAUUUUUAUAACAUUUUUAUAAAAUUGUAUUUAAUUAUUUUUUUUCGAUCACUCUCGCAUUUACUCAUUUUUACGUAAAUAAAACUUUAAGUAAUAAAAAUCAUGUUUUUUGUUUAUUUACGUAUAUAUUAAACACAUACAUUAUUAUACUUGUUUAUAUAUACAUAAAAUAGUACUUAAUUUUACGAAAUUUUAACUAUUUUAAUAUUGUAAAAAAAUAAAAGAUAAAAAAUAAGUUACUUUUGUUUUGUAAUUAAAUAUAAUAUAUAAAAAGUAUAUUUAAAAGUGACUCAUGUGCUCAAGCCGUGCAUAAAGUACAAGCACUUAUAUAUAUAAAUAUAAUAUAUACAUAUAUAUAUCAAUUGUAUCAACACAAAUUAUUUAUCUUUCAGAAGAGAAGAAAACCGAAGGAUAUAUAUAUAUAUAUAUUAUAAUACAUUAUAUUAAUAUAAGCGAGGAAUCAGAAAAAAAGAAGAAUACAGAAGUUAAAAAAUAAAUAACUUAAUAUACCUUAACUAAGAAGAUAUAUAUAAACUUACAGAGUUUUUUUUUUUUUUUUUUCCCCCUUAAUAAAAAUAUACAUAUAAGUACGAGCAUCAGAACAAUGGCUAUAUCGGACAGAAAAAGAAUCGACAUGAAAAACAAAAGUGGCAUAGGAAAAAUAAAGAAAAGCGGAUUUUCAAAGUACUCUAAUCAACAAAAUAGAGGUGUGUAAAAAAAAAAAAAAAAAAUUAAAAUAAAAUAAAACAAAA